UACGUAGGGUGCAAGCGUUAAUCGGAAUUACUGGGCGUAAAGCGUGCGCAGGCGGCCAUGCAAGACAGAUGUGAAAUCCCCGGGCUCAACCUGGGAACUGCAUUUGUGACUGCAUGGCUGGAGUGCGGCAGAGGGGGAUGGAAUUCCGCGUGUAGCAGUGAAAUGCGUAGAUAUGCGGAGGAACACCGAUGGCGAAGGCAAUCCCCUGGGCCUGCACUGACGCUCAUGCACGAAAGCUAGGGGAGCGAAUGGG
rnacentral:rRNA from 1 species